CAACCUCGCACUCACACUCACUCGAUGCACUGUCAACGACUGCGUCUCUCUCCGUUGCACGUGCCGUCUGUCUGUCCACCACAAGUUCUCUCUCCGUCAGUCUCCUUGGGUCGCGACUCUCUCUCUCUCUCUCUCUCCUUAUUCAAGAUCUGGGCAUAGUGAGAUGUGCUUAGAUUUGAAAGGAUUUGGAAGAAGUACCCAUGGCUGAUGCUUUACCUGAGUGCUGAUUCAAUGAAAGGAUUUUUUGGAGGCUAUCACUAUGAUAUAAGGGUGUGUUGAAAUAUGCAAAGAGGUGCUUUCCGUGAUUCUUUGGUGGGCUCAACUCUCCUCUCCAUUUUUCCGCUGCUAAAGGGCAACAAGAUUGUUUCGUUGCUUCUGGAUAAUGGAGCUGAUGUAAAUUUCAGAAAUUACUGUGGGCAGAACACGAAAUCAGAGUUUGCUGUGCAUUUCAGUUUGUCCUCUGGUCUUCCCCAAUAUGAAACAUGUUGCACUUGGCUAAAGGGAUGAGAUAAGCAACCAAACAGCUUGCUGUAUGGCAAUGGACAACUAUGUUUCCCACUUGCAAAAGCAGAGUUUCAUAAGCAACUUGCAAGCUUUGGAUUGUGCUGCAUCACUGGGAAUGAAGUUAAGAAAAUCAAAUAUUACCAAAGAUGUGUAUAGCCUAUGUCAUUUAAGCCUCAAGGAUUUCUCCCUUCAAGGUUAUUGUUCUUCUAGUCCAUUUUUUUCUUUUUAGCAAACUAAGCAUUUCUUAUAUAUCAUGGUAUUAAUACGUUUUGGUGGUGUGCUAAAUUUUUUUACUUCUCUUUUGUUCUUUGUGUUUUAGUCUUCUAAACUGACUUUUUUUUUUCCAUCCUUUUGAACAUGAUAGCAUCUGGAUAUCUUUUGCCAAGCUUGCAUUCAGAUGCAAUAUUUGAAAGUUCAGGGGUCAGCUUCUUUUGUGAUCUGAAUGAUAACAUUCUAUUACUUGGAAAUUCUUUUUAUGCUUGGCUUGUUACAUAUUAGGUUGAAUUCUUCAUGGAAUUGAAGCAGUAACUUUGAAUAGGAAUUAUGUUAGUCCUUGGCUUAUUACUCAAUUGUAGCUUGCAACUGUGGACAGUCGAGACUAUCAGGUGUAUAAGUUUUUGUGUGCUGCUUCUGUUGUAUUAUCUCAGUUCCUAACCUUUAUUGUUCUAACGCACCCGUAAUCAUAACAAGCGGUCUAUAUCUAUCAUCUGUGUGUCGAGGAACGAGUCUCAUUCAUACUUUCUUUCUGUUUCCAGUUCUGGACGUGGACGGGUUGCCUGAAAGAGAAUGCUGAGAAGAAGAGAUUAUGGAAGUUUCUGCUGACAUGCACAAGGAGCCAUCUGUCCAUAAUUGUUUUUUGGGGAAGGAAAUGUUCCUUGUUGACAACCAUUGGAGCAAACACUGGAACCAUAUUAAUGCAGUCAGAACAGAAUGGGCAAAAUUUGGUGUUAAAACAUAUAUGUAAGUAGCACUACACCAAAAACUGCAUCACACGACGGCACAAAAACGUUGUGUGAUUUGGAGACUCACCGUCGUCUAUCUCGAUGUUGUCUGAUGAAAAAUCAGACGACGGUGAAUUUACCGUUGUAUGAUAUAAAGUCAGUCAACGUAUAUUCCUUAACACCGUUGUCCCAGAACUCGACAGAUGCCGGACAUAUCCAUGCGCAACACUUGUACGCAGCAGUUCAGACAACAUAAUUUGCUUUUAUGCCGUUGUGGGUUAAGAUUUUCAUACAGCGGUUUUGUAGUUUGUCUGUUGUGUGAUUUAGAGUAAGACAACUGUGUUCUAGUAUUUUCUAUUGUGUGAUUUAGA